AGGCAGUUCACAUGACCAAAUCGAGCUGUAAAUUUAAGCCUUUUGGACCAUCUUGUACAAUCAGCGCUGAAUUACAAAAUGAUUACAAAAUUUGAAAAAAGAAAGUACUGUCAAAAAUGAAAUUAAACAGGUAUCAUCUGAAGUUCAUGACUCAAGGCAAAGAAGUGCAGGGUAUUAUCCACAUUGUGGAGAUGCACACCAUAAACAAACUCACAUUUGGCUCUGAGACCUGGAACUGGGGGUGGGGAGAGGGAGACGCCGCUUCUGCCGCUGCCCUUUGCUUUGUCAUCCUGGCGGGACAUUUUCUCCCCGCCGCCCGGCAGGUGCCUAGAAGUCCCCGCCCCUUCCGUCCUGAAUCUCCCGGAAGUGCUCACACCUUCCCUGGCGGGCCGUCACCUGCCUCUUCCUGAGCUGCGAACCCUUCUGAUGUCUCCUGGCCCUGCGGGACCCGGGAGCUUCCGCGGCGAACGCCCCCUCCGCGGACACCUAUUCUCUCCCAUUCUGGAAGUCUGAGGUCAAGGGUGUGGGCAGGGCUGGUUCCUCCGGAGCCUGUCUCCUGGGCGUGCAGACGCCGCCUUCUCCCCGUGUGAGCGCAGCCCUUUGUCUCUCCCGCUUCUUAGAAGGACACCAGUCGGAUUGGGUUCAGGCCUGCCAUAGACUGAAUGUUCGUGUUUCCCCCCCACCCCUGUCCCCCAAAAACCGUGUAUGUUGAACCCCACCGCGAGGGUAUUAGGAGGUGACGGGACGCGUGCCCUCAGAAGAAGAGACACAAAACAGCGUGUUCCCUACCCGCCCCCCACCAUGUGCGGGGGGCAGGAAAAGAUCUCCCACCAGGCCUGGGCCUUAUCUUGGGCCUCCGGCCUCCAGAACUAUGAGACGUAAAUGCGUGUGGUUUGAGCCAGGGCCCCCUUCUUAAAGGAAACGAUUUCUCUGACACUGGAUCAAAUGGGAAGAAAGGUUUCUUGUUUUUAAUAUUCAGUAAUCUCUAUGCCGAACAUGGGGCUUGAACUCCCACUCGCCAGACCCCAAGAUCAAGAGUCUCUCUACCGACUGAGCCAGCCAGACGCCCUGCGCCUUCCAGCAGGAGGCACCCCCCCCAACCCCCACUGGGGCCAAUCCUGAGGAAACAACGUCUCCCGAACCAGGGACAUUCUAUAAAACGUCUGGCCUGCACACUUCAAAGACACCCACGUCUCAGUCCCACAAAUGGCUCUAGGGCACGGCCACUGGGUGCGGCGAGGUCCGGGAUUUUGCUGUGACAGGCAAACCGAGUGAGGUCUGUUGAUCAGGUCAUGGAUUUGUAUCAAUGGGGUGCCUGGGUGGUUCAGUCGUCGGUUGAGCAUCCAACUUCGGCUCAGGUCAUGAUCUUGUGGUUCGUGAGUUCAGGCCCCACCUCAGGCUUACUGCUGUCAGCACAGAGCCUGCUUCCUGCUUCCGAUCCUCUGUCCCCCCCCCCCCCGCCCCUCCCCUGCCUGCACUCUCUCUCUCAAAAAUAAACAUUUAAAAAAAACACUCAACAUUCUAAAAAGACAAUUUUUUUAAAGCAGUUUUAGCUUAACGUCUUGAUUUUGGCAGUUGUACUAUGGUUAUGGAAAACAGUUCUUUGUUUUUCAGAAAUAGACACUGAAGUCGCCAGGGGUAACGGGAAACUGUCUGCAGCUUAAUCGUAACCAUUCAGAAAAACCAGACAGUUAGAUGAUAGAUAAGUGGCACAGACUUAGAUUCAUAUUAGAGAGAGACAGGGACAGAGACAGAAGUAUGAAGAAAAUACAAUAAAAGUUUAAUAUUUGGGGGCACCCGACUGGCUCAGUUGGUAGAGCGGGCAACUCUUUUUUUUUUUUUUUUUUAGUUAAGUUUAUUUAUUGGCGGGGGAGGGGCAGAGAGAGAGGAAGAGAGAGAAUCCCAAGCAGACUCCCUGCCGUCAGCGCAGAGCCCGAUGUAGGGCUCCACCUCACGAACCAUGAGAUCAUGACCUGAGCCAAAAUCAAGCCAGACUCUCAACCAACUCUUAAUCUUGGGGUCGUGAGUUCAAGCCCCAUGUUGGGUGUAGAGAUUAUUUAAAAAUAAAUUUUUUUAAAAAAAGUUAAAAUUUUGAAAAUCUGAAUGAAGGGCAUCUGGGAAUAUUCUUGCCACUUUUCUGACAGUCUAAAAUUAUGUUAAAAUUUAAAAAAAUGUUUUUAAUUAACUCUUUUUAAUGUUUAUUCUUUGAGAGAGAGAAAGAGAGAGAAUGAGCAGGGAAGGGGCAGAGAGAGGGAGACAUAGAAUCCAAAGCAGGCUCCAGGCUCCAAUCUGUCAGCACAGAGCCCGUCGCGGGGCUCGAACCCACGAAAUGCAAGAUCAUGACCUGAGCUGAAGUCGGACGCUCAACCGACUGAGCCACCCAGAGGCCCACCCCCCAAAAUUUUUAGUACUUGGACCUCAUAGCAAAUUACCACAAACUCAGAUGGCUUAAAACAACACAAAUUUCUUGUCUCUCACUCCUGGAGGCUAGAAGUCUGAAAUCAAGGUGCCCGAAAGCCCACGCUCUCUCUGCAGGCUCUGGGGGAGGGUCCUUCCUGCGGCCUCCAGCUCCUGGGGGCUGCGCGGUCCCUCAUCUUGUGCCAGAAUGACUUUAAUCUCUGCCUCUGUCUUCACAGAGCCUUCUGUCUGUGAAUGUGCCCAAAUUUGUCUCUUCUUACAAGGACACGGGUCAUAUUGGAUUUAGCACGGCCCCUUCUCCUUACCCAGUACAACCUCUUAAGUUGGUUAUAUACUCAGAGAGGCUAUUUCCAAAUAAGAUCAUAGUUACAGAUUGCAGGCGUUAAUAAAAGUUGAAUGUUUGGGAAUCUGGGUGAGUAUCUGGGAAUUCUUCUAUUCUUGGCACUUUUAUGACAGUCAGAAAUUAUGCCAAGAUAAAAUAAUUCAGAGCAUGAUCAAAAACUCCCUAGUUUGAAACCUUCCGAGGGCCCUGCAGCACGAGGCAGUAAGUUGCAGCAGAAAGUUCCGUCCUGGCCGGCCUGCAAGCCCUGGGACUCCGCCUCCCCUUCCCCCCUCUGGCCACUCCUGUCCCUCGCUCUGGCCACUGCCCUUUCCUCCAGUUUUUCUCACCCCUGACUUGUUCCUGCCCCAGGCAUUUGCAGUGGUUGUUUUCAGCCCAGAACAUUCCUCCUUGAGAAUAAGAUGUGGCUCCUCAGGUCAAAUGUCACCUGUCCAGAGAGACUCGACCCCCUGACCUAAUGCUAGCUCCUGUUCCCGUCUUUAUCCGUCUUCACAUUUGUUCUCACUAGUGGAAAUCCUAUCACAAAAUGAUGUCUCGUUGAGCCCCCUCCCCUAGAAUAGAAACCCUCCAGGGACAGAGGCCCUAUUGGAGUUUCCGGUUUUUUCC